AACAUCGCGCACCUGCGGGAACCUGCGGAGGGAUCAUUAAAGAGUUGCAAGACUCCCACACAACACCCUCGCGAACGUUACCCCAGACGUCGUUGCUUCGGCGGGCCCUGCCCGCCGGGGGGACGACCUACCAGACCCUUUGCAGUUCUCCGGCCUCUCUGAGUAUGAUUUUUCAAUAAGUCAAAACUUUUAGCAACGGAUCU
rnacentral:misc_RNA from 1 species